rnacentral:rRNA from 1 species
UACGUAGGGCGCAAGCGUUAUCCGGAAUUAUUGGGCGUAAAGAGCUCGUAGGCGGUUUGUCGCGUCUGCCGUGAAAGUCCGGGGCUCAACUCCGGAUCUGCGGUGGGUACGGGCAGACUAGAGUGAUGUAGGGGAGACUGGAAUUCCUGGUGUAGCGGUGAAAUGCGCAGAUAUCAGGAGGAACACCGAUGGCGAAGGCAGGUCUCUGGGCAUUAACUGACGCUGAGGAGCGAAAGCAUGGGGAGCGAA